rnacentral:rRNA from 1 species
AACGAACGCUGGCGGCAGGCCUAACACAUGCAAGUCGAGCGGACAUCUUCGGAUGUUAGCGGCGGACGGGUGAGUAACGCGUGGGAACGUGCCCUUUGCUUCGGAAUAGCCUCGGGAAACUGGGAGUAAUACCGGAUGUGCCCUUUGGGGGAAAGAUUUAUCGGCAAAGGAUCGGCCCGCGUUGGAUUAGGUAGUUGGUGUGGUAAUGGCCUACCAAGCCGACGAUCCAUAGCUGGUUUGAGAGGAUGAUCAGCCACACUGGGACUGAGACACGGCCCAGACUCCUACGGGAGGCAGCAGUGGGGAAUCUUAGACAAUGGGGGAAACCCUGAUCUAGCCAUGCCGCGUGAGCGAUGAAGGCCUUAGGGUUGUAAAGCUCUUUCACCGGGGAAGAUAAUGACGGUACCCGGAGAAGAAGCCCCGGCUAACUCCGUG